GCCUCCUCCAACUCACUGAGAGUGGCUCCUGAGUGAGAUCCCUCCUGGCAGCCAGAAGAGGUCUCCAGGCACAUUUCCUCAGCAAGCAGCUUCUCUGCAAGGUGUGUGCAGAACCAGGAUGCAGCCCUCCAGCAAGCUGCGUGGAGCCCAGAACCCGGAGUUUGCACCUCAGGCCCUCCCUGUGCUGACUGCCGAGCUCCUCUCCUGAUUCUGCUCUGUCUCCCUCUGGGGUUUGACCUUGUAUCCUUCAGAGCUGUCUAAUAGGUCCCUUGAAUUCAUUCCUCAUAAUUGAAAUCUGUUUCCUUUGACCAGCAUCUCUCCUCUCUCCUCCC
rnacentral:lncRNA from 1 species